rnacentral:rRNA from 1 species
GACGAACGCUGGCGGCGUGCUUAACACAUGCAAGUCGAACGGAAAGGCCCUGCUUUUGUGGGGUGCUCGAGUGGCGCACGCGUGAGUAACACGUGAGUAACCUGCCCUUGACUUUGGGGUAACUUCAGGAAACUGGGGCUAAUAUCGGAGAGGAGCUCCUGCUGCAUGGUGUGGGUUGGAAAGAUUCGGCGGUUGUGGCUGGACUCGCGGCUUAUCAGCUUGAUGGUGUGGUAGUGGCUUACGAAGGCUUUGACGGGUAGCCGGCCUGAGAGGGGUGACGGCGUCAAGGGUACUGAGGUAGGGACCAGACGGCUACGGGAGGCAGCAGUCGGGAAUCUUGCACAACGGGCGGAAGCCUGAUGUAGCAACGCCGCGUGCGUGAUGACGUCUUUCUGGUUGUAAACCGCUUUCUCCUUAGACGAAGCGUGAGUGACGGUAACUGGUAAAGAAGCACCGGCUAACUACGUG